rnacentral:lncRNA from 1 species
UGUCACCAGCUCUCCCUUGUCCUUAGCGGUCAGGUGUGCUUUUCCCAUAAGCCACAAUGAUGAGGUUCGAGAGGAGAGCUGGGAAACAGAAAAUUGAAAUGGAAGGAAAAUGUAUGAAAUAUCAAUUGAGGUAUUUUAAAAUACCUUUAUUUUUCCUUUUUUUUAAACAAAAGGAGUAAAAUAAAUAGUGUGCAAGCCUUGAGGGGUUAAUUUGAUGCCACGGGGCAACACUCGACCGCAGCGGGACUAAUAUAAUCAAACAGGUUUUGCAGGCACCGAAGGA